GUGCCCUCUUAAAGUUGACGCGGUGCUUUAGGAGGCUAACACAGAAGGGUAAAGUGUAAGAGCAGAGGU